rnacentral:rRNA from 1 species
GUUGGUUCUUGGCGAGGUUGCGCCUAAUUGGCGCUAUCGAACCUAGGGUCAGCAACGGGGAG